UGGGCGAGGAGUACAAAGGACCCCAGGCGAAGCCGGCGCCGGGAGGCAGAGCUGACUCCCGCGGGACUCUACCGGCCUGCGAGCGUUCGUCACGUGCUCGGUGGCUGAGGGGCCGUCCCGGCCGGGCGGGCUUCACCGCGUGGGCGCGGCAGUCGCCACUCACCGAGGUUGACGACCUUGAGCGCCGUGAAGAAGCGGUUCUGCCGGGCCAGGCGUGGGUUCUCACUAUGUUGCUUAAGCUGGUCCAGAACUCAAGCCAGUCUCUCACUUCAGCCUCUUGAGUCGUUGGGAUUACAGAAGCCACCAUGUCCAACUAGACAAGAUCUUGUUGCCCAGGCUGGUCUCAAACUCCUGCGUUCAAAUGAUACUCUCGCCUUGGCCUCCAAAAGUGUUGGGAUUGCAGACCUGAGCUACUAUGCCUGGCUGAAUUCUAUUUCUAUUGGAUUGGUUGUAAAGAAGUGCAUUGUAGCCUGCAAAGGAGCAGGGCCAGUGGGGUGGAGAGGGCAGAAGUGCUACAGAGGCCCCUGCUCUCCACUGCCCUGACUGCUACUGUGCUGGAUGCCGUGUGAACCACAGCUGCAUCUGGAGGCCUUGGGCAGCACCUAACAGGAAGCCAGAGUAGGUCCUCUGAAGGUGUUUGUUCAAUGAACUUGUCAUCCUCCUCAACUUAAAGCCUUUAGCUUUUCCAAUUUGGAGGCACAAAUAAGUGAGAACUUGGGGAUCCACUGAGGUCUGAGGCACGGUGGUACCAGAGGAGAUGAAGGGGCUUUCAGCAUGAAGCUGGUCCCCUGUCGACAGCACGCUGAUUUUCCCGUUGGGCUCUAUCAGCAUGUCCACUGUGAGACCAUGCUUGUGAAAAUACCAGGACGGUAAAUUAGUGAAUUCCAAAGUCAGGAUUUUUGUUGGAUCUGGCACAGUCACAGGAAAGUCUGAGUUUUCUCAAGGGCAUCCCUGUCUCACCGAGGGGCACCAAGGACAGACGACCAGAAGCAAAUGGCGCAGUCACCGUCAGAGGAGAGUAAAACUCAUUCUGAAACGGUUCCAAAUGCCCAUGCCUGCUCUGUGGUUUUCAGCAAAGCGGACCUUUCCAAAAGACCUCCAACAGGGACUUCCUGGAUGUGAGAACACUAACCAAUUCUCGUUCCUCUCAUCUUUUGCUUUAUUCCUUCCUUCCAUGCUGUUAUUGCGAAAAACUGGUAGUUAAAUUCAAUUGAUUCAAAAUAUUCGGGAUCCAUAUGGCCGCCAACCCUGGAGCUGAAGCGGCGAUAGCGCCUCACUGCUGUUUUCAAGCAUUUGCCUCUCCUCCAGUCCCCAGAUGGUGGGAGUAACAUUUAAACCUCCUUUUCUCUGCCUUGUACAAUAGACCUUGGCACCAUUUCAACUGUUUACUCCGGUAAUUAACAGCUCUGAUACCACAACAAUUACAACUCCUACACUCUCACCACAAUAAUGCUAUGAAUUAGUGAGAGCUAAUGGCUGGAAGGUAGAGUGUUUCCAGACUGUGGGAUCUGUGCAUUUUUAGAAUAAAAUAAAAGGUACAAACAGCACGCUUGCAGUAGACAAUGAUUACCUAGUAAUUAGUUUACACAAAGCUUCCUAUUUAAUGGCAAAACGCUGUAAUUAACGUGUGACAGAAAAUCAAAGGGUACUUUGUAAGCAUAUUAAAAAUUAACACUGCAGGCCCAUAGCUUUAUGUACUGAUUAGAAGCAUAUUAAAUCAAUAGGACACACAAACCAACAGCUUGGGUAGCUGAUUAUUAUAGGUCCUCAGAAGGGGUACCCUGGCUUUCAUUUCACUUGGGGAGGCAAUUUUCCUUCUCCUGUCAUCUUCCUCAGGCACAGAGAAACACCUCAAACUCAACCCUGGCAGCUUCAUGAAAAUAACCACUGAACUGGAAGAAAACAUUCUAAGUCAUUCUCAGAGAUGAAGACAAAUAUGUAAAUGAUUAAGACUUUCCAAUGAUUGUGGUGACGUGCUGCUACACUAAUUAGAAAAUACACCAACUGGAACCAGAAAAUAAAGCCACUGGGUUGCAAUCUUCCGGUCAGAAUAAUCUCUACUUUGUCAAGCCUCUUUAUUCAACUCAUAGAAAGUUCAAAUAAAUGGAACUGUUUUAUAUUUCUAAAUGAUAAGAAAGCAGGCUGCUAUGAAGACUUAUUCUUUCCAAGGCACUGUCUGGGUAAAGCAUAGGCUGGGAACAACUGGAUCAACCAACAUUCUGUAUCUUCAACAGCCACAACCCCAUAUAAUGAUGGCUGAUGGACAUAGACAGCAAUAUCCUGGAAGCCUACCAGAGCCUAAAGAACCUUCUGAAUCACCAAAGAAAGAUUAAGUUGUAUGUACUUGUUCAAUGUUACCUGUAUUUUGUUAUAAUACAAUUUUAUGGUAAUAAUAACAACAAUAAUAAUAGGUAGCAUUUCUUAAAGUCUUAUUAUGUGCUAAGCACACUGCUAGCCAAUUCAUAGAAUUAUCUCAUUUACUUGUCACCACUUCCCCAUGAGACAGGUACUAAUCUCUCUUUACAGAUAGAGAAAGGGAGACUUGGAGAGCUGAAGUAAUUUGCCUAUAGUUAUCCCCCAGGGAGCAUGGGAGUCUAACCUAGGUGUCCCUGGCUAUGGAACCCCAGGAAGCCAAACUACCUCUUAGUUACCCUGAAUGACUAGCCUGUUCCAACACUCAUUCUGCUUAAAAGGCAGUUUACUAUGUCAACCUGGAAUAGGAGACUAAAAAAAUUAAAACAAAAACAAAAUAUUUGGUUGCUUAUUUUUUUAAAAAACAGGGUGUUUCUGCUUUUAGAGAUAGGAGUCUUGUUCUGUCACCCAGGCUGGAGAGUGGUGGUGCAGUCAUGACUCAUUGCAGCCUCAAACUCCUGGGCUCGAGUGAUCCUCUUUCUUCAGGCUCCUAAGUAGCUGGAACUACAGGCACACACCUAAUUUUUAAAUUUUUUGUAGAGAUAGGGUCUCACUAUAUUGCCCAGGCUGGUCUUGAACUCCUGGCCUCAAGCCAACUCCCACCUCAGCCUUCCAAAGUGUUGGGAUUACAAAAUAUUACAGGAGUGAUCGACUGCACUGGGCUAAAAACAAGGGUUUUAAAUGCUUACCAUAUUUUUAAUGCUACAUCUGAUUGUGAAGGUGGGCUACUCAAAGCUUUUUGGGAAUUUACAGGCUCACUAAAAUGAUCACGAUAGUGUAUUAAAUUGAGAAAGGCAUUGAAAAUCUGUCAUUCCCAUGAACAACCAAAGGGUGAUGUCUAAAAUUCUCUCUCAUCACCCAUGCACAUAACCAGGUAUAUGAGGCAGUUGGGUUGCAAGAGCUGAAUCCUAGAAACUCCUAGGCAGGGCUCCUCCUCUCCAGCUCUGAGGUGUGUGUAUUGAUGGCCCCCUACACCUCCCAGUUUGCUGCCUUGUGGGAAAAGGAGACCAGCUCUUCUGUUAUCUAGGAAAGGGAAGAAAUUUGAGAGCAGUGGCCUCUGUGUUCCAGGAAUAUUUGCGUUUCCCACAAAUCUCUGGAAAGCAGAAAGCUUGCCACAAGGGCAGCACACGGUAUGAGUCACAAAGGCAAGGACCUGAGGGAGAACACUUCCCAGGACUUUCAAAUAAGGUCUUUCCUAAAUGUACUUGGCUCAGUGUGGCAAAAGCACUGGGCUAGCAGCAGUCAGAUGUGGGUUCAAAGCAAGGCACAAUCAUUUAUUAGCUAUAAAUUUGGGCAAGUCACUUCUUGAGAAUAAGUUUCUUCAUCUGUAAACAGAAGUAAUACCUUCCUUAUAUCUUAAAUUGGUGUGGAAGUAAAUGAGUAAAAACCUCAGGGUUUUUCUGAGUUUAAAUGAGACAAUUCAUGUAACGUGCUUAGCACAAUACCUGGUACCCAGUAGGUACUCUGCAGUAUUUAUUGAUGAUGAUGAUGAUGAUGAUGAUGAUGAUGAUGAUGACAAAGAAAUACAAGGAAAUGUCAACACCUUAACAGUGCAUUCAUAGAUCUACAAAAUGCUUAAUCUCAGUGUUCUGGCAACCACUAAAUACAUAAAGAUAAUCUAAGACAUCAAGAUUUCAACAUAUAAAAAUAAAUAUAAAAACAAGUGAACAAUAAUCAUUUAUAUGUAGUUUCAUGACUGGAAAAAAUAAUAACCUAGAUUUUUUCUUAACCUAGAAAAUCUAGAUUAAAAAAUAAAGAUCUUGCAUUUUUGAUAUAAAACACAAAUAAUAAGGACAUGAAAAAAGAAUAUCCCUUGCUAGUAAUCAAAUAAUAGCAAUGAGAAGCUGGAUUCUUAUAUCUAAAAUAAAAGUGCAAAUAGUUCAUAAUAUCCAUUGGUGGUAAGGUUGUGGUAAAACUAGUAUUCUUAUUCUCUGCCAGUUGCUUUGGAAAUUGGUACUAUCUUUUUAGGAAUAUGGCAAUAUGUAACAAAAGCCAUAAAAUAUUCUACUCCUGGGUCUUUCUCCUCGGGAAGUAACUCAACAGAAGCAAAAAGAGGUGUAUACAAAAACCAAAUAUAAAAACAAACAAAUCUUUCCUCCCUCUUUCCUCCCACUGCCAAAAAAUGAAAGCUGGGAAUAGCCUAAAUUUCCAACUUAGUUGAAUUGUUCAAUAUAUUAGAGUUCAUCAAUAUGAGAGAAUAUUAUGCAUCUAAUAAUUGUGACGACUAUGUAUAAACAUGGAAAAUAUUUAAGAUCUGAUGUUUAACUAGCAUAUACACUAUUAUUGUAGCUAUGAGAAAGAAAUACUGCAUAUUUAGAAAUUAAUAUACAAAAAUGAAAACAACUAUGUUUGGGGACAGUGAUUAUGUACUUUUAAAUUUUUUUUAAUCUUGUUAUCUUUAAACUUUUCUAAAAAUGAUGUGAUUACAAGCAAUGGCUCUUUGGGAUCACCUAAUAAAUACCUACUAAAUUCUAGACGGGACAACGAGCUCUGCCAUCCUGCAAUGGCUCCUGUGACCUAGUUCCAGGGCCAUUCUGAAUGGACAGAGGUCUUCACAAUGGAGGUGGAGAUGCAGGGAGCUCUAUGGCAUGAAAUGGUUAAUGAUUCUCUUUUGUAAUUGUGUUUUCUGUUUGCUGCCUUAGUUCUAAAAGGAGGCAAAACAACUGUGGUUUAUUCUACCUUUUCCAGGCAUAGUUCUUCUCCUACCUUUGUGAUCCCCAAAUUAAUAUCAAAUGUCUAAUUAGUUUUUUUCUCCAUUGGUGAUCCCCAAAUUAAUAUCAAAUGUCAGACAAAGUAAAUCAAAGUACAAAUAAAGGUAAAACUGCUCUUGCAAAGGGCUAAAAUAGCAAUGUUUACUAGAAGCAUUCAAGAGCCAGUUCAAUUUCCUAUUUCUCAUUAAGUGGUAAAAUAGUAAUGCCAAGACCACAUCCCAGAAUCUCCAGGGUAACAGAGGCCCAACGAAGGGCUGCAGAGAAACUUGAAAGUAAACUGGCUUAGUUCUUUACACACAGAAAUUGUUCUACAAAGAUCUCUUGCAAAGCAGUGUCACCAGUAGCAUCACUGCCACUAAGCCAAUGUCCCAGGAAUUGAGGAAAGGAAGACACCCUUAAAGAAAAAAAUGGAAAAAAGCCACAAGGACUGGUACCACAGUAAAUGUCUGCCUGGGUCUCCCUAAACUGUCUUAGGUGAGCUUACCCAGGAAUGUUUCUCCCCUACAUGUUUGCCUUCCUUUGUUUAAGCCUUUAUUCCUCCUAAAUGAAAAUAAAUACCCCCGACUGGGGAACGUGGAGUUUGGAGUGUGUGCAAGAGUGUGGAUUCAUUAAAACUUAACGAGCAGAGUACUUAAGUGAAUGAGUUUACUGGAACUUGUUGGGGGAAGUAGGUUUUGUUAGCUGGU
rnacentral:lncRNA from 10 species